rnacentral:rRNA from 1 species
AUUGAACGCUGGCGGCAGGCCUAACACAUGCAAGUCGAACGAGUGGCGGACGGGUGAGUAAUGUCUGUGAACCUGCCUGAUGGAGGGGAAUAACUACUGGAACCGGUAGCUAAUCCCGCAUACCAUCAGAUGUGCCCCGAUGGGAUUAGCUAGUUGGUGGGGUAACGGGUCACCAAGGCGACGAUCCCUAGCUGGGCGGGGAGGAUGACCAGCCAGACUGGAAUUGAGAGACGGGCCAUACUCCUACGGGAGGCAGCAGUGGGGAAUAUUGCACAAGGGGCGCAAGCCGGAUGAAGCCAUGCCGCGUGUAUGAAGAAGGCCUUCGGGUUGUAAAGUACUUUCAGCGGGGAGGCGUUACCCGCAGAAGAAGCACCGGCUAACUCCGUGCCAGCAGCCGCGGUAAUUC